CACAAGCACCAGUGCUCAAUCGAAAAGCUCACUCACCAACCCCUAGAUAUCCGAUGUGGAUGCUCGCAGCACCGACAUGAGUCGAGAUUUCUGUUUUCCAAAAUCGUUACCGAUGUCUAGUUCUUCCACCCGCGUUCCCGUUGACUACACGUUCUCCAGCUCGUCUGUCAUGACGGCUGCAGACCCUAGUCCGGCUGCCUCAGAAUCAACAGAAAAAGCCCCCGCGGCCGCCUCGGUGACGGCGCCGAGCACAAAGGCAAGCAUACGGAGGCACCAGCAGAGCGAUGGCACGCCUAUUUCGGCCACCGCAAAGCGUGCUGUUGUGCGUCGCACUCCCAGUGGACGGACUAUCAUGCAGGUACGGCGCGCCGACGCGGCUCAGUCUAGCGAGUUGGCCAGUUACUCCGCCGCCGGUGGCGAGCAGCAGCCGUAUUCGAUUGCCACCGCAGCAGGCGCCGCGUGGACAGUGCGCGAAUUCGUGGGGAACUUGGCGAUGCUAAGCGUAGUGCGCAAUCGUGCAGCGGUGAUGAAGGAUUACAUUAAGAACUCUAACCUUCGACCAGCGUCUGUCGCCACCCCGCAACGAGAGCGUGACUGGGCCGAUCCAGCUGCCCAGCCCUUUGUACGUCGGCGUCGCGAGUUGAGUCUCGGUCCUACCGUCACUUGCUGUGCAUCCAAAGAGCAUCGUGACCGUGUCUCCACGCCGAUGGAGUUGGCUGCGCGCUCGGCUCGCAACAUGCAUACUUCUCGCGCAGUAAGGGAGCCUGUGGCGCCGCUUCCGUUCGAGCUGCUCUCGGCCAGUCGUCCUGUGCCGGAGCUGCCCGCAGAGCUAAAGGGGGCGAUCACUUCCUACUACCUAUCUCGUCUACGUCAGCUCUCUGUCGCGCAUCAGGUGCAUAUUGUGCACGCGAUGGCCCUCAAGAAGGACCGCAAAACAGUGAUAAAGUGCCUCAAGCAGCAGGAGCGUGCCUUUGCGCAGGCCGCGCAGCCGGCAGCGCCUUUACCGUCAUCGAUUACGGGGCGCUCGGUGAAGGGCAGACCUCAGACCGGGGCAGCACACCCUGUGCCGAAGAAUGUGCCGUGCCCCACCUUGAACGAGAAGAGCCGUCGUCGUGUGAUACGAGAGUACGGCGCGUCUCCCUGGAGACGACAGGGUGCGAACGCUGCGGAGAGUCAAGCCAUGGAUCGCUUCUGCCAGCACUUUGCGGUGGAGGCCUGCGCUGCCUUCCUUGAAAAAGCCAUGGACGUGUGCAUGGCCCGCCGCACUCGCUUCUAUCUGGAGCAGCCACCCAUUGCAAGGCAGCUCGGUGUCGUGCUACCAGAGGAGCAGCUCACACCGCUGUACGUCAUGGCGGUUGACGACCUGCUCUACAACAUGACCGGUUGGACGCAGCGCGAGGCACGGAAGUUCUCGCGUGCGGUGGUGGCCAUCGUGUGCCGCGGGAUCCUGAUGGUGGUAUCGUCGGCUACAGCGGAGAAAGCGGCAGCGGUGCACGAGCGCCCGCACACGACGCUUGCUGGCAUACCUUUUGCUCUGGAGCCCUCCCCCUCUCCUGGUACCCAUAGACCCUUGGCCGACAGCCAUCCCACAACAGCAGCAACGGCAACAGCAGGCCUGAAGGACAUGAAUAAACAACGCGCAGGUCGAUUGUUGGGCGCACCUCUGUGGGUGCCUGCGGAAGGGACUCGCUGAGGUGAAACACGUGCACCGACACCGACACCAAUGUCCCACCUUCCUGUCGGUCUUCUUGCUCUCGCUCCGCUUUUACGUUCCCUGACGACGAGGCACAGCUCCGUGCGUGGCAUCUCAGGGUCCAGCACCCCCACUGUGUGAGGAAGCCAGGCGGUCCCUCUGUCCCUGCCAAGUGCCAGAGCCACUUCCGGCGGUCACAGGGCCGAGCGCCUGCGACGUGGCGAAGUCAGGGCGCCUCAUCGCCACCGAUGCCGACGGCCACACCCUCGACGGCGUGGCGUCGGAGCGACCCGAGACCGCGAGCACGCCUGCACCAUCCAUACGAUCGACGAGGCGCCAGCGCGACUCGAACACAUCCCGCCCCGCCCUCGCCGCCCACCGGUGGAGGGAGCCUGCGCCACCGCGGGAGAUGCACCACGCGGCCACCGGCACAAAUGGGGAGCGGCUGUGAGGCGGCACUGCAAGGCGGGUGGGUGGGGAGGGCUCGAGGCAGAGGCCGUGCUGCGAUGCCCGAGUUGGCGCAGUGCCGCGCCGGCGUGUGUCUACGGCUGCUUCGCGCCACGCGACGGGUGGCCUGUGGCAGGGCAGAGUCGGCCGCUCGAGAGUGGAACGGGACCUCAUGCUGUGUGGAAGAGACGUGGACUCACGGUUGAAAGCCCCUCGUUGCCGUAUAUGUUCCGUGUUUAGUUUUGUGUUCGUUCCUUUUUGUUUUGGCGAUACUCCGAGGCGAUGAGAGGGAGGGAGGGAGGACGGGGUGAGGUGAAACGAAGCCGAAGGGAGAGAAGAGCGAUUGUGUGGCCGUAAUCGCAGAUGCCUUUUACGUGGCUGUUGCCUUCCUGUCUCUCCCUCUUCCUGGAAAGACGCUUUGUGGGGCGGGUGGGUGGCAGAGCCGCUGCGGAGGAGAUGCAGGCUGCCCUUUCGCGUACUCGCGCCUCUUGUCUGCGCUUUCAGCCCUGCUUGCGGUUCCGCCCGUCUCAUUAAGAUGUUCCCUCUCCAUCGCUUUCUCGCCGCGCAUCCCCGGCCCUCUUUUCCGCUUCAGGUAGCAUUGUGUGUACUUGGUCUCGUUUUCGGCUCCUUUUCUCCGCAACGCCGCUUCCUCCAAACACGUGGGAGGUGGAGGCGGCUCUGAUAUGUGUGUAGGCGUACGUGUGGUGUGUGUGUGUGGGGAACGGAAAGGACAGCGUGCUCCGGAUAUACUCACGGAGGAAGCCCAGGCGCAUGUGCAUAGAAUGUACACGUGAGUUUUUGCGCGCUCCCUCGCUCCACCUUUGCGUGCGUGCGUGCCUUUGCGGUACAGUUGUGGCCGGAGAUUUGUUUAAGCCGCUCCUCUUUUUCUCUUGUUACAUUCUCCUUUUGUGUUUGUGGUCGCGCAGUUCUUCCGCCCCCCUCUCCCUAUCCCUCCCCCUGUUUCCAAGCCAUCAUGACUCGUUGUCUACACGGCAUCUCUCUGUCUCUUCCGUUCUUCACCUCCUUUUUCUGCGCCGCUUUACUCCCAUUCUCUACCGCCCCUUCUAUUGACACGCACGUGCACACGUGCACAUUUUCUAGUUUUAUCUUGUGCGUCUUUCGCUGCCCCCCCCCCCCCCCCCCCCCCCCCCCAUAUCUGAACCAUUUCCGUCUUAUUCCUUCUUUGACCGUUCACCUACCCGUCUUAAGUUGCCUCUCCUUUCGCCGGCACCCCACUCCCUUCUUGCUCGCUCUUCUCUUGCGUGAAGGUCCGUGAAAGCCUAUCCGUGAGAAGGGCCUUUGUCACAGCAGACGCCGACGACACGAGCGCAAGGCGGAAAAGGGGGUGGGGUAAGGCGAGUGUGUAGGAAGCAGAAAAUGUGUGUCUACCAAGCGUUCACGACAACGACAAUGCAAGGUAAAGUGAUGAAGGAGCAUCUGUGCAGGCGUAGGAUGGAGAUCGCCAGCAGCAGCCGGAGUCGUUGCUUGUGUGUCUAUACGAGUUUCCGAUGCACGCACACACACUAGCGGGGGAAUGUUUUGUCUCCUUACCUUUUCUGUUGUACAUCACUUCACUCGUCCGACCUCAUUUCUUUGUUUUUUUUUUGCUGCGUUUCUGCCGUGCUGUCUCCUCCUUGACUCACCAUUCUUCUAUGCCCUUUAUAAUUUUUUUUUGCUGUUACUCAUGUGUAACGUACGAACGACAACGCCGUGUUUUGAUGUUGAUUGUAUUCGUAUGCGGGUUGCCUUUUUCUUGGUGGCUCACGGGGGAGGGUGCAGGGCAGCAGUGGCGAGGGCAACGACAUUGCCCUGAGCGACGAGGUGUCGCUUAUCACUGCACAGUCUGACCACUGCCCAUCUCUCGAUGUUGCCGCGGGCAUGUGCGUGUGUUUAUUUCUUUGUUCUCUAUUCGCCCCCAUUCACCUCUUCUGGCUUGACGAUCUUUGACGGCGACGGCCUUCUCUGUUUUGCUAUCUCCUGCCACCCUCGGGUCAGUUUAGUUGAUCCUCCCUGCACCGAUGACGCGGGUGGUGUGCUUUACGGAUGGCGCUCUCUCUCUGUAUGUGUUCCUCCGUUCUCUGUCUUCUCUUCCUGUUUUUGUUUUUGUUUCUUUUUGUCGUGCCCGUCUUCGGUUUCUGCGCCUCAGCGCGGACUUUUCGGAGCCUGUCCUGCGCAGAGCUGGCCAACUGCCGUUGUUCUCGUGCGCGUGUGCCUCUGGUGCAAGGCGGCUUAUGACGAACGGAGCGAGGUGCGUUGCAAGAACAAGCGUGAAGCAGGCGGAGGCAUCGAUGACCAAGGACUUACGUUGCAGAUGUCCAGAAUACAAGAGACGGAGUCCAAAGAACGUGCAGCUUUUUAUCAUAGUGAUGCGAAGAUGGACUGAGCUGUGGCACGACUGCCUCACUCGCUCUUUACAUUUCCUUCUACUUUCGUGCCCUCGACGCUUCUCGCUCUCCACCGGACAAGAGUACGGAGGCAAGGGGGCAAGCGCUCGCGGGAAAGGGAGUAGGGCACAUGAGGAAUACAUAAGAACCAAUCCACGAGGUUGAGAAAGCAGACGACUUUGGAGAGUGAGAGUGCGUGGCAGCGCAUCCCCUCGAGCUUGUCUUUGCGUGACGGUGCCAUUGCCCUCUUUCUUUUGUUUUCAAAUAUGUGUCUACUCCCCUUCCCCAUGACCGUUCUGCGAGACCUCAUCUCUCUCCCUCUUUGCUUUUUUUUUUCUAGUCGAUUGAUGCACACACGUACACAGACGCACGUGGAGUGUGCUCGUGCCGACAAUGCUGCACAGCAACGAACCAUCAGAGGGAGGGAAAAAAUAUGCAACAGGCAAGAUGAGGAACGGCUUAUACAGUACUUCUACUGCGAUGGUGGUGAAGGUGCAUGUGACACACACACACACACACCGGUAGGCAGUAUGCGAAACGCAGUGCGCAUGUGCUUCUCGCCUUUGUGCUCUUUCUUAUCUACCUCUUUGCUUUCUACGUGGCGGCCGCACGUGAACCUGGUGUGUACGUCAUGACUCUCUCUCUCGAUGCUUGUGCAUGGCCAUCCCGCUGCUCUCUCCCUUUCUCCUAAACAUGCCCUUUUUUUCGUCCCUCUCAUCACACCCUCCCUCUUGCGCGCGCAUCUGCCGCCCCUACCUCUACCUCUAUACGCGCACACCAAUGUAUGUGUGUGUGUGUGCGUGAGCGUGUUUGCCGAGGCACGCGUGUUCGUAUGUGCGCUACAACCCUGCACGACAG
rnacentral:misc_RNA from 1 species